ACGCACCUCUCCGGUGAGAUCAGGUUCUGCGAGUUUUUUGGGAAUUGAAACGAGGAAGAGAAAGAACUUGUAUUUUUCCAACAACAGUGCACAAAACAGAUGAUUAGCAGUGCUGAGAUUGUGUCACGCAGCCUUCGAUGUGAAAGGGGAACUGUGCUGCUCUGUAACGUCAGCGUUUGGCUUCAAACGGUCAUGGGUAUCAUUAUGACCCUCCCAGCGUCCGACUGUUCGUGAUAUGGAACUGCCAGUGCCUUUUGGGCAGAUUUCAUCUCCUGCUGUCAACUCCAGAGUCUUUGUCUGGCUAAGAUGGCCCAGUUUCGCCGUCGGUGUCGUGUUGCAGGCUCCGGCCGUGUGUGUCUGUGUACGCAGGUCUGUGCUAAGCGCGCCUGUUGACAGAGUUUUUACUAGUGCCUGUGCAGAAAUAAUGUUCACGUCUCCUGCGUGCCCAGAAACGUGCUGUGGUGUGCGCAGGAGGGGCUUUCAUUUAUGUUUAAUGCCAUUGUGUUACACUUUUAUUUCUGUGUUUUUUUAUGAGCUAGCACACGAUAAUAACAGCAGAUCAGCAAAAAUAACCUGGAUUAUGAUAUACCUUUUCAAUGCAAUCUAAUCCAUGUUGUCCUAAUGAUUAUGCAUGAUUUUAAUUUCAUUAUUUGUUCUCAGUUGUGCUAAACAGACCACCAUCAUUUGAAAGCAGCCAUAUCAGCUGGUCAUGGUACUAGAGUUUAAACACAUCUGUUGAAUCAGGGUACCUACAGCACUGUGAAAUGUUUCUGUCUACGGCCCAGAUGAGGAGAGUCUCCAAGCCACAACAUGACAUCCAUCUCAGGAUAUUUAAUGAGGAUGUCUACCGCUGGAUUCAUGUGAGGCCCACAUCACUGAGGACAAAGGGUGAAUUCUUCCCCGGCCGAGCACGGCUAGAGGAAGUAGUGCAGAUGCCAGUGGAGAUAACUGAGUGUGGGUUCGAGUUUCCACCAGCUGGUCAGGCAUACUUCUACUGUGCACAGAACUGAGUGGAAUUGAGAGUGUGUGAACCAAAAAGUAUUACGCAAUGUUAUUUUAUUUAUUUAUUUAUUUUUAAUGGCUACAAUGUCAAUAGUAUGGAGACAUUAUUGAAAAUGAAAAUGACAGUGGUGGAAGAGAGUAUAAAGUGUGUGUGGG